rnacentral:rRNA from 1 species
AGAGUUUGAUCCUGGCUCAGGACGAACGCUGGCGGCGUGGAUUAGGCAUGCAAGUCGAACGGUAUGGUGCUUUCGGGCAUCAGAGAGUGGCGAACGGGUGAGUAACACGUAGGUAAUCUACCCUCAAGACGGGGACAACCCAGGGAAACUUGGGCUAAUACCGGAUGAUAGCAGCAGCGAUGUUGUUUAAAAGAUGGCUUUCGGGCUGUCGUUUGGGGAUGAGCCUGCGUCCUAUUAGCUAGUUGGUGUGGUAAAGGCACACCAAGGCGAUGAUAGGUAGGCGGCCUUAACGGGUGGUCGCCCACACUGGGAUUGAGAUACGGCCCAGACUCCUACGGGAGGCAGCAGUCGAGAAUAGUCUACAAUGGUCGGAAGACUGAUAGUGCGACGCCGCGUGAACGAGGAAGCCCUUCGGGGUGUAAAGUUCUUUUAUAUGUGAGCAGUGGGUUCUACGUUAAUAGCGUGGGAUCAGGGAUAUUAGCAUAUGAAUAAGCAACGGCUAACUCCGUGCCAGCAGCCGCGGUAACACGGGGGUUGCGAGCGUUGUCCGGAAUUACUAGGCGUAAAGGGCAGGUAGGCGGAUCUAUAAGUUUUUUGUCAAAUUCAACGGCUCACCCGUUGCUCGGCAGGAGAUACUGUAGAUCUGGAAUGCGGUUGGGGAAGACAGAAUUCCUGGUGUAGCGGUGGAAUGCGCAGAGAUCAGGAGGAAUACCUAAGGCGAAGGCAGUCUUCUAAGCCGUAAUUGACGCUAAACUGCGAAGGUGUGGGUAUCAAACAGGAUUAGAUACCCUGGUAGUCCACACAGUAAACGAUAAUCACUGGGUGUCG